rnacentral:rRNA from 1 species
AGAGUUUGAUCCUGGCUCAGAUGGACGCUAGCCGGAGGCCUAACACAUGCCAGCCGAGCGGUAGAGAUCUUUUCGGGAUCUUGAGAGCGGCGUACGGGUGCGGAACACGUGUGCAACCUGCCUUUAUCUGGGGGAUAGCCUUUCGAAAGGAAGAUUAAUACCCCAUAAUAUACUGAAUGGCAUCAUUCGGUAUUGAAAACUCCGGUGGAUAGAGAUGGGCACGCGCAAGAUUAGAUAGUUGGUGAGGUAACGGCUCACCAAGUCUGCGAUCUUUAGGGGGCCUGAGAGGGUGAUCCCCCACACUGGUACUGAGACACGGACCAGACUCCUACGGGAGGCAGCAGUGAGGAAUAUUGGACAAUGGGUGAGAGCCUGAUCCAGCCAUCCCGCGUGAAGGACGACGGCCCUAUGGGUUGUAAACUUCUUUUGUAGA